AAGAUUCUAAAAGAAGCAACAACGGAAACUGCUUUGGCAACAGACUGCAUGUAGAAAGGAACUAUGAGAAAACUGCGUAUGAUUCAUGUCGUAGAGCUCCUGUUUCUUGCGGUGGAAGUCGCUCUUGGUGAUGUGCUUCUUAUCCAUUUUGCUCUGACCUUCUCCACGAAUCGCUAUGGUCUCUCUACGAGAGACAGAUGCCUCCAUAUCACGAAUCAUCUUCUCCUGCUGCUUCAUCAGCUGGCCAUAACGGACCUUUCAUUUGUCAAGAUAUAUUAAAAAAAAAAAGGCUGAAAAUACCAAAUGGUUACAAAAGGCACCUAAUUAAAUCCUUCCGUAUAGCACAUCUCAUCAACAUAAACCAGGUAUAUGUGACACAUGAGCCUUGGCAAGCCAAAUUUGUUUUAAAUCCAAACCUAGUUUGCACAGUGUGGAUCUGGAAGGCAGAGAGCUAAAUUAGUUACUGACUCUACAACAACUUGUCUAAAGUAAUCUUCAAAAAGUUUCAUUGGAACUCACUUCUGCUUUUGCUAUUGCAAAUAUCUUGAGAAUGAAAGGGAAGAGUUUCUUUGCCAGAAGAUAGAUGGCUUCUAACUAGUGAUUAACAUGAUGUAGUGUUUAAUAAUAUUUCUUUGCUUAUAAAUUGGAGUCACAGAAUCAGGUAAUAGACAUAUUUCAAAGAAAAUUCUUUCUCAGAUAUGUCUAUAUUUUACUGCAGUCACACAGUUAGUGCAAGGAUUGCCUAAAGUGCAUUCAUGCUGAACAUAUUUAAUUCAGUCUAGCUGCAGGGUGAUGAGAUUUCCCCAAUACUGCUACAGCCUUGGAGACGCUACUUCUCCAGCUUUUUUUUUCCUGCCUUAUGUUUGAGCAAUUCCAUUGAAGCUGAAUAAGUUGCAUGCAACUCCUCCUCUUCAGUCCUCUUUCCCAAUAGCUUACUUGCAUCCUAUGAAUCUCUGUUCUCAUGGCUCGGAUUUCGCCUUGUCCUGUCUCAGAAUCCACUGUUGAACGCAUCUCUUUGGCCAGCUGGAUCUUUUUCUCCCACAGCAUGAUUUGAUGCCUUCAAUGACAGAAAGGGAAAGAAGUGCCUUUGUGAACAACAGGGAAGAUGUGCAUCAGUGGCGCCACACUCCAGAAGCCAAUUCUGAACACAAAGUUGAAUGGUUCAGCAGAAACUUAAGGUUUGCAUAUGAGACAUGUCAUAAGGCAGCAACACCCUCAGUGUGAAGUCAGACAGGAAGCUCUGCAAUUUAGAAAGCACAUGGUGAGUGUAAAAACAAGCCAGCCCAGACUGACAGGGGGCUGAUAGCCCCCAAUUAAUUGCCCAGGACAGCACAUUUGCUCUGAGUUACUGGCAGAGGAGAUGCCAUGUGCAGCUUCCCAUACUGAUCUUGGCAACAUCCAGCACAGAUAAAUAUGCUGGAAUCAUUAAAGCCGACAUCCUCUCAGCUCUUGCUGGUUCCAAAGAUGGCUAAAGGCCCUAGCUGCUCUGAAAAGAAAUCAUAAGAAAUCAUAAAAUUCUAGAUGCUUAACUGGGGAGGGGAAGGGACAGGGAAAAUACCACACAAAAUAUAGUUACUGUGGCCUAAAAAAUUAGAAUGCUGCUAAAGAAGCCUUCAGUUUCUGCAUUUCAAAAAUUUGUUAAACUACUUUCAACUUCUCCAAGAAGGGUAGAAGCACAUUUGCUGCUGUGAUUGGAGAAGGAAGGUAAUAUGGACCCAUACACAAGAGUUCAAAUACUGUGGCAUAAGGCAAGAAUCUUUCUGGUACCUACUCUGCUUCCACCAAGCUGUUUAGGAGUCUUUCCUUCUCCUCACUCAAUUGACUGUGCUUCUCCUGCAUCUCAAUUGAUUCUUUUUCUGCUGCCUAGAUUUGGGAAGCAAAAACCAACACAGUAUUGUCAGACUGAGAAAGAUUUACAGGAUCGCUGUUUGCCUCCUAUCUUCAUACCCUUUUUGUUUGCCAGUCUUUAUACCCACACAAAUGGUAUACCUAACUUGUUUCUCCUGUGUAAUUAAAGUCAUCAUCCUUAAGCAAGAAACAAACUUGGAUGCCUUUUCUGUGCAUAACUAUAUAGAUUGCAUAACUGUAUAUAACUACAAUAGAACUACCUCUCUCUGGUCAUAUUAUUUUGUACCACAAAAACUAUUUUCUUCUGGGCCACCUGCUGCACAGAACUCUUGAAAGCCCAGUCAGACUGCAGGAUGGUAGGCUGUGCCCUGGAGAUGAAAAGCCAAGCCUCCAUACCUUCAGAGAGCAUACAAACUCAUUCUCUGUGAUAAUGUUGCCAUAUUGCAACUCCUCAAAGCUGUUGCUGUUCUUGUUGAUCAAUAUAUUUAACUUUAUCAAGUCAUUCGACAUGUUCCUCAUGUGACGUUCAAUGUCUUUCUGCUCUUUUGUUUCCUGCUGAAUUUCAUCUACAGGUGAACAGAAGAAAGAUUUAAAAUUCCCUUGAACGCUGGACUGAGUACAGCCAAGGUGUGACAGACUGCAAUUAGACCAGGCAACACUGCGUGCAGAGCCAGCUGUGUCCUAUGUACCCUGCCAAAACACCUCUCCAUAAGCCCCAAAAUCAAGUAAAGAUUUUGGAAAUAGACUACUGUGAAAGAGAGUUGGUUUUGGCUGAGGAAAGUGCUGUCACCUACCAACUACUUGCAGACUUUAUUUAGGAAGGGUAACACAUGAGAUCAUCACUUAGGGUUUGACUGUGUGAGUUAAAGACAGCAAGAUCGGAUCAUUACAGGGAAUAAUGACAUGCAAAAUGGCAGAAAGUGCCUGGCUUUUAGCCCCAGAGCAUACUUCUGGGGCCAUAUGCAUUAUUGCUCACACAUAUAUAGGAAUACUGAAGGCAUUCUCUGGUGAAGGGUCUAACAUUACCUGCCUGUAAACCUUUGCUGCCUUUUUUCUCCAUCCAUCGAUGAACAUUAUAAGAAAAAGUUAGGGAAUGACUUACUUUCAAUGCGUACUUUCUUCUGCUGCAUGAUUGUGAUCUGCUUCUUUAACAUAUCCAAGGAGGCUAGCUGCUCCUCCCGUCCGUGCGUUAAUUUGACCAGCUCUUUCUGCAGCUUAAGCCAGUACUUCUGUAGUGUCAUCACCUCAGAAUUACAUUCUUCUAUCUGCUUGGUCAGUCUGUUGAUCUCAAUUUCCAGUGGUCCCAACUCUUGCCCCUAUAAGAGGUUAAAUUUGGAAUUAAUCAGAGAGAAGCUGCUGGAGCACUUAUUUAUAGAAUCAUUGCAGAAGGCCAGUCCAACUAAUAAGAUAUCCACUAAAUACUUUGACUAUAUUGUUUUUUUGUCAUUUAGCUACUUUCUGCCUCAGUGUGCCAUGAGUUGAAUGGGAAUAAUAGAACUACCUGACCUCACAGAAGUAAAUGGAAUAUAAAUCUGUAAAGUUCUCAGAUUCUGUGGUGAGAUGGCCACCUAAGCUUUUACAAUAGAUACACCUGGACAUCUGAAAAUUUGCAAGGUGUAUGCUGUAGUAUUCAUUUGCAAGUUGGUAUCCAUAAAGCUCUUCCUGUUCAUAGUGCUAGGGAUAGAUCUAGGUAUCAUCUGAAUGGGGCCAACUAUCCAGUGACUUCAGUCAUUCCCCGCCCCUUCCAUCCUCCCUUUGUCAAUCUUUGCAGAUUUUAUAAUGUCAACCCUUUUACUUCCAGAGUAUUGAUGUAAUUCAACAUUUUCAUCAGGUGUAGACAAUUCCUCGCAGAAAACUCUGCUACGUACACCCUCAUUUCACAAUGAUUCCCCAUUGCUAGCUUCUCUUUACGUGCAUUAAGAACUGAUUGACAACUUUUAACAUUUACACUACUUAGUGCAGUUUUAAAAUCACAAUGCUGAUGCCUGGAAAAGUUUUUAACUGUCCAAAACUUGCACAGUUACCUUCAUCAAUGACAUCUAUGGUCGCCACAAAGGAUAAAGUCAAAUUUGGGACUGAAGUGUAAAGUACAUACCCCAAGCUGGGAAAGAAUCAUCUCCAGCCUUUUGUUGCACAGGUUGAUGACCCCUUGCUUGUUCUCAAUCAGGAGACUGCGCUUUGUGAUCUCAGUUUCACUACGGCUGAUCAGGUCGUGGAUAUUUUUUAUUUCCUUGUCCAGCUCAGAAAGUGUUUUUUGGAGAACGGUCAGCCUGCAGUUAGUAUGAGUUGCAUUCAGAAUUACUUGGGCUGUAUCAUUCUCAACUUUGGAAAAAUGCAGCUCCUAGUAAUAUCACCAGAUAGAAAACAAAUUACUGUCACCAACAGCAACCUAUUCAUUUGUAAUGCCAAGUUCUCAAAGGACAGGAUCAGAGGAUUUAGAUUCUACUCACAGGUCCAUGCUACAAACCAUAAGCAAGCUACAUACCAUCUCCGUACCUUUGUUUCUCCAUCCAUUAGCAGUAGAUAACAUUUACCUCUCCUACAAGGCUGUUGAGAAGCAUUAAGGAGCUUAAACAUCCCAAAAUCCUAUAGAAGACUGUGCUCAUCACUUCUGGAAUUAUCUUCCCUACCCAGCUGUCUCUAGUUACCUAGCUAACAGUGAGUGGUAGGACAUGUCCACAUUUCAACUUCUAUGCCAUACCUGGCAAAAGCAUCCCUGACCAAAUUACAACUGUGCUAGCUCCCCAGCCAUGAAGAGCUGCUAUGCUUUUUGUUCGAGUGCAGUAUGGCUGCAAUUAGACAACUUUCAAGACCCUGCCUGCUACUUCUACACAAUCUGUACCACACUGCGAGAGGUUAUAAUUUGAUCGUUCCCAAGUCAGUAGUCUCUGCACCAUAUUCUGCUGUACAAGAGAGAUACUAAUAGAAAUAAAUGCAGAAGCUGAUGUACUUUUUUGUGUAUCUGAUGGAAAGGAGGGCCUUCCUCAUAGUGAAAGCCAGCCCUGGCAGCCUUCCAGCCACCUAAGAUAUGCACCUAUUUUACAAAACCCUGUGCAGACUGAAGUUAAACACAGAGAGCUGUGAGCAUGAUGUGUUAGUACCAGCCCACACAACUCAAUAUGAUAAAUACUAUGCUGAAUCUUCUAUUUUUUUCAUCUAUACCAGUUAUACACUCCUGAAGAGAGCAAUUUAGCAUGCCAUAAAGAGCUGUGGGUUUGUUUUGACUGUUCCUUGGAUUGGAUUCAUUAUUUAGAAACUGAGAGUAUGCCCGCAUCACAUUCUGUGAUGCAGUAUAGAGAUGUAAGUUAGUUUAAGGUGGAGUAUAGAGGUAUCGCGCAUCAACCAUCUUUCGCCAGUAAGUAAGAGCUUGUAAUGCUUUACAGUAAACACUCCCAGGAUUCAUCAUUCUGACCCAUUUUUUAAGUAAAGAAAGAAUAAUGUAUUUGUCACAACUUUUUGGCCAAACUGUCUCUUGCAUGCGCCUCCUGCAGUAAUAUCACUGGAAGAAUUAACAGGAGUCACAAACCUAGAAGGGGUUUCAGUUACAGGGCUGAAAACCAGAACCACGACAAUGACAAAACACAUUUGAGAAACACUGUUCUAGGCUGUGAUUGUAGCCUGUUUCCUUUCUCAGCCCUCCCAAAUGGAAAAGAUACCAUACCAGAUCCAUUUUUCUCUUACGAAGUUUUUCAGCCAGCUGCGAGAAGUAUUUUGCUGCUUUGCUGGACAUCAUCUGAUCCUGAAGCUUUGCCAUGAUCUCAUUCUCCAUUUGCUCUUUGGUAUCAGUUCCUUUCUCUAUAUCCUUACUGAUGGAUAGCAACUCGUUCACACGAGCAGCUUGAUCCUAAGAGGCAGAGAAGACAGAGACAGGAUCACUAACAGUGUUUGGAGACGGGGAUUAAACAGGUAUGUCCUAUUUAAAAGGAUUCUUCUUCCAAAUGGCUUUUCUUACCAUCUUUGUUCUACUGAGGGCCUGCUCUGUCUCCUGGAGAAUGCGGGUAUAGGUGUUAGAUUCAACCUUCAAGGCCUCCUGCCUUGAAAGACACUGGGCAAUCAUUUUCUUUGUCAUAUUAGCAUCAUUCUGAGAACGGCUCAGGAUGGUGACGAGCAUCUCAUUCUUCUCCUCUUCCUUCCUGAUUGACUUUCUGCAGCCAUAGAUAUCUAUUUCUAGGGACUUGAGCUCAUGUCUGUACUUGCUGAAGAGGCAAAGAGGAUGGAAAUCAUCACAGGGAUUGAUUUGUGCACUGAACACAUACAAAUUCCUCUUUUCAAAUAUGCUAUUGCAGAAAUAAAUGAAUGAGGAGGAAGAUCUUUAUAAAGAUCAGUCUAUUGUGACAGCACAAAGUUAUCAGAAGAUAGAUGGAGAGGCUAAAAUGUAAAAGGAAAUGUAUGUAGGAAAAUUAAUUUCUUUGGUUUUCUCCUUACCCUUUCCCAUUCUGACUGGGAUGCCACUGUAUAAAAACAUACAGUUUGUUCUUAUAGAAUCAGUCAAGCUUUAAGACUCCAGGCCAAAUAAACAUUCCCUUUAGCAACAAUAAUAAGGUUUCCCUGAAGAUUUCAGAAGGCAUCACAAAAUCCUAACUGAAAGUGAUAGAUAAAUCCUUCUUGGUGGCUUGCUUUUUGGACUGAGAGAUGUUGCAGAGGUAGAAGGAACUUUUCAAAAGAAUAAAAUGUGCACAGAAUAACCCUAAACAGCUUUCAAAAAAAUCAGAUUUUUGAGGGAGGGUUGUGUUGUGGAUGAAGAAAAAAAGUAACAAAGGACCAUGGUCCUUUCCCUUUAAUCUUCCGUGUGCUUCAGUGUAGCAGAUUUAUUCUGUCUGACAUAUUCUACACAUACAGUAAUAAAUUUGAUAGAAGACAUACUGUCCCUUUUAGAAUCUCUCCCAUCCAAAUUACUUGAGGUCUCUCCUUGCACUGCUCUCAGACACUGUACCUCAGCAAGUCUUGUAUGGCAGCAUAGGCCUCAUCUCUUUGCCUCAUUCCAGCCAAACUACUAUUCCAGUGGUUCAUCAACCGCUUCUUCUCCAUGUUAAUAGCCUGUACCUCCAUACUAGCCUGGGGAAGACAGAAUUUGUAGAUGGACUGAAUCUAUACCGGACUAAGAAACCAGAAACAAUGAGAAACAAUGCCAUACUUCUUUUUUCUGUUCAUAAUAUGCUGGGCAGGAAUAGUUUCAACUGAACUAGCUUUCCAUUCUCAAGCUUUUCUGCUCUUUCUUUAGUUUUUUUUUUAAAUCCUUAUUCUUCUACGUACAUUAGCAUAAUUCAUCCUACUAGUCCCACUAACAACUUCAGUGUGUUUGAAAGCAUAAUUUAUGUCAUUGCAUUUUUUUGCCACAUUAUGGUUACAAAUGAAAGUUCCAGAAACAACAGUAAACAGGGUAUUUUCAGAUGACAUUUCUGGUCACAAUUAGAGAGGAGGGAGGAGAGAAAGAAGGAAAGAAAAACAAACAAACCAAACCCUGUCUCUGGUCCUUCGUAGCAACUCAUAUUGCUAUCUUUUGGCAAAAAGCAUCACCCAAAAUACCAAGUUACUGACAUAAUAUGAAAACACAGAAGACUGUGCACAUUUAAAUCAUGAUUAGCUUAGUGCACCCGGGACAGCGUGAUGAUAGAGCUGUGACAAUAUUAUUUAUACUGUGCUAGUUCUAUGUCAAGCUAAAUAUCAUUUCUCUGUGAUACUGGCUAUAAUGCGAUACUGGCUAUAAUGUUCCAAUCAUGCACAGAAAGAAAUUUGAUAAUAUGUUAGAAAUUAUGUUAGCUAGAAGCUGGAGAGGAGGCAGAGUUCUCUUCUGCUAACUCACAAUAUCUGCCCUAUCAUGCGUGUCUGGCUUAUUAUCACACUAGAGCAUAGAAAAGUGAUAGAUCUCCAAGACAAAACGCUGAAAAGUCAGGGGGGAAAUGAUUUACAGACAAUUCUUACAGACAAUGGGGGAAAAAAAAUCCUCCGUUCCUGUAAACAGGAAUGAACUAUAGGACUCUAGUCUACACUGUAAAUAUCACAUGAGCAUAAACCAAAGAGGUCAGUCCCUCCAGAGUGCAAUAUUAACUAGAAGUGAAAAAUAAAGUCACCUCCUACCUCA